rnacentral:rRNA from 1 species
UUCUGAUCGUAGGUGACCUGCGGAAGGACAU